rnacentral:rRNA from 1 species
AAUAGAUACCCCGGUAGUCCACGCCGUAAACGAUGUCGACUUGGAGGUUGUUCCCUUGAGGAGUGGCUUCCGGAGCUAACGCGUUAAGUCGACCGCCUGGGGAGUACGGCCGCAAGGUUAAAACUCAAAUGAAUUGACGGGGCCCGCACAAGCGGUGGAGCAUGUGGUUUAAUUCGAUGCAACGCGAAGAACCUUACCUGGUCUUGACAUCCACAGAAUUCUGCAGAGAUGCGGAAGUGCCUUCGGGAACUGUGAGACAGGUGCUGCAUGGCUGUCGUCAGCUCGUGUUGUGAAAUGUUGGGUUAAGUCCCGCAACGAGCGCAACCCUUAUCCUUUGUUGCCAGCGGUUAGGCCGGGAACUCAAAGGAGACUGCCAGUGAUAAACUGGAGGAAGGUGGGGAUGACGUCAAGUCAUCAUGGCCCUUACGACCAGGGCUACACACGUGCUACAAUGGCAUAUACAAAGAGAAGCGACCUCGCGAGAGCAAGCGGACCUCAUAAAGUAUGUCGUAGUCCGGA